rnacentral:rRNA from 1 species
CUCUACGGCCAUAUUACCCUGAGUAUGCCCGAUCUUGUCUGAUCUGAGAAGCUAAGCAGGGUUGGGCCUGGUUAGUACUUGGAUGGGAGACCAUCUGGAAAUAACACGUGCCAUAGGCU